rnacentral:rRNA from 1 species
UACGGAGGGUGCAAGCGUUAUCCGGAUUCACUGGGUUUAAAGGGUGCGUAGGUGGUUUGGUAAGUCAGUGGUGAAAUCUCCGAGCUUAACUUGGAAACUGCCAUUGAUACUAUCAGUCUUGAAUAUUGUGGAGGUCAGCGGAAUAUGUCAUGUAGCGGUGAAAUGCUUAGAUAUGACAUAGAACACCAAUUGCGAAGGCAGCUGGCUACACAUAUAUUGACACUGAGGCACGAAAGCGUGGGGAUCAAACAGG